rnacentral:lncRNA from 1 species
UAGAAUAUCUUUAGUCCCACAUUGGAAAGAGAUAAAACUUAAAAGGUCUUUAUGUAGUAUUCAGCCUUUCUAACUUGGUGAAGCAAAGAAAGAAAGUAGCCCACGCGCGCAUGAGCCCAAUGGAGGUCACGUUUAACCGGGCGCGUUGCGAUUAUCACGCGCAGGGGGGACCCCCCGUGGGUGUGGGCUUGAGCCAGGUUUCUUUUUGCCGUUUUAUUUUUUUGAAUUGUUUUGAAUAAAACGUCGCGUCUUUAAAACAGCUCUUUGGUUAUCUCUUGAUAAAACGUCGCGUCUUUAAAAACAUAAAACGAUGUGUCUUUUAAAUACGCCUCUUCAUUUCUUUUUAAACCCUAUCAGAUCCGAUAGAGUUAUCUAAUCUAAUCUAUCCUCUCUCUGUUUCCGAAAGCCUCUCUGUUUCUUGUUCCCGAGAAGAGUCUUCCUGUUUUCUUCUCUGUUGUCAUUCCAAGAGCGCGGUUCUGGGCUGUUCGACCGUCACUUCAUCUGCGAGUGUACGCUU